UUCUUUUUUUUUGAAACAAAUCAGGCAGUAGAGCUGCCGAUUAUAUUAAAAGAAGAAUAAGUCCAGAAUGGACAGAACAACAAACAACAUCAGCUGGUUGGAUUGGGACAUCAACAUAAGCCGCACAACACAAAGCACCACUCAACUCAAUAAGCGUCACUGGCCGGUUGGAUUGGGACGUCAACACGUGCCGCGCAAAGUCUUCGCUCCGCCGAGCUUCUCAACUUCACCACAACUAACCUCAUCACUACUGCAUCAUCGUCAGGCCUCCACUCCACUGAACACCACCACCGUGACACCACUAGCUUUUUUUUCUUUUUUUUUCUUUUUGGGAAGAAAAGAAAGAUGAAAAACGCCUAGCUGACGAUCGCAG
rnacentral:lncRNA from 1 species